rnacentral:rRNA from 1 species
GACGAACGCGUGGCGGCAUGCCUAACACAUGCAAGUCGAACGGAGAUUAUUUCGGUAAUCUUAGUGGCGAACGGGUGAGUAACGCGUAGGCAACCUGCCCUUUGGUUGGGGACAACAUCCCGAAAGGGGUGCUAAUACCGAAUAUGACAGUUUUUCCGCAUGGGAUUACUGUGAAAGAUGGCCUCUAUUUAUAAGCUAUCGCUAAAGGAUGGGCCUGCGUCUGAUUAGCUAGUUGGUGGGGUAACGGCCUACCAAGGCGACGAUCAGUAGCCGGUCUGAGAGGAUGAACGGCCACAUUGGGACUGAGACACGGCCCAG